rnacentral:lncRNA from 1 species
GGCGACCAAAGCCGGUGUACCUCGCUCUUCCCACCAACUGACUGUUCUCUCCUUCUCUCAUAGAAUACCAAGUCUGUGAAAAUCCUAAUGGACAGGACCCAGACCUGCACAGGCAGCAGCCUUUCUCCCCCUAAGAUCGGCCACCUGAACUCCAAGCUCUUCCUGAACGAGGUGGCCAAGAAGGAGAAGCAGUUGCGGAAGAUGCUAGAAGGUGAGGGUUAAAGCCUCUGGGCAGGGGUAAACACGCCAG